rnacentral:rRNA from 1 species
AUUGAACGCUGGCGGCAGGCCUAACACAUGCAAGUCGAGCGGUAGCACAGAGAGCUUGCUCUCGGGUGACGAGCGGCGGACGGGUGAGUAAUGUCUGGGAAACUGCCUGAUGGAGGGGGAUAACUACUGGAAACGGUAGCUAAUACCGCAUAACGUCGCAAGACCAAAGUGGGGGACCUUCGGGCCUCAUGCCAUCAGAUGUGCCCAGAUGGGAUUAGCUAGUAGGUGGGGUAACGGCUAACCUAGGCGACGAUCCCUAGCUGGGCUGAGAGGAUAACCAGCCAAACUGGAACUGAGACACGGUCCAGACUCCUACGGGAGGCAGCAGUGGGGAAUAUUGCACAAGGGGCGCAAGCCUGAUGCAGCCAUGCCGCGUGUGUGAAGAAGGCCUUCGGGUUGUAAAGCACUUUCAGCGGGGAGGAAGGCGGUGAGGUUAAUAACCUCAUCGAUUGACGUUACCCGCAGAAGAAGCACCGGCUAACUCCGUGCCAGCCGCCGCGGUAAAAC